rnacentral:rRNA from 1 species
AGUGAACGCUGGCGGUAGGCCUAACACAUGCAAGUCGAACGGCAGCACAGUAAGAGCUUGCUCUUACGGGUGGCGAGUGGCGGACGGGUGAGGAAUACAUCGGAAUCUACUUUUUCGUGGGGGAUAACGUAGGGAAACUUACGCUAAUACCGCAUACGACCUACGGGUGAAAGCAGGGGAUCUUCGCACCUUGCGCGAUUGAAUGCGCCGAUGUCGGAUUAGCUAGUUGGCGGGGUAAAGGCCCACCAAGGCGACGAUCCGUAGCUGGUCUGAGAGGAUGAUCAGCCACACUGGAACUGAGACACGGUCCAGACUCCUACGGGAGGCAGCAGUGGGGAAUAUUGGACAAUGGGCGGAAGCCUGAUCCAGCCAUACCGCGUGGGUGAAGAAGGCCUUCGGGUUGUAAAGCCGUUUUGUUGGGAAAGAAAAGCAGCAGGUUAAGACCCCGCUGUUCUGACGGUACCCAAAGAAUAAGCACCGGCUAACUUCGUG